ACCACUAUGAUCCAAAAUAUAUCAAAAUCAACAAAACAAAACAAAGCCCACACACCAUGAAUUUAUCACACCAAGUAUUACACGAUUAAAAAUUAAUUGAGAAUAAAAUGAAGAAUGAACCUUUUAUUCAAUCAAAUAGAGGAGCUUCGCGGAUUCGGAACCUCGACUUAAACCGACCUUGAAUAAAACCCUAUUUGGCAUCGAAUUUCGACCCCGAAACAGAUUUGAAAAUCAAGCGGAACCUCUAAAUCGCAAACCUCAAUCAACAAAUCAAACGAACAAUGGAAAACUCGAACGGAGGGGUGAACUGGCACUACUGGUCGCCGAUUUUGGUGAUAUUACCCAACGAAUUCCAAUAAUUUCAGCUAGAACAGUGAAGGACGGGACUGGGGAGAUGGUUUUUAGGUCAGUCACGUUUUCGAUCAGACCUCCAAUCGAUUUCAGCUUGCCGUCGCCUUUCUCUCUCUCUUUCUUCUAUCUCACGAUCUCACUCUUGCUCGAAUCUCUCUUUCUUUAUCUCCCUCCUCUCUCGAUUUCUCUAUCACAUUGGUUUUACUGUGUGUGGUGUGUUUGUGAACGAAGAAUAAAAAAAAGGUGCAUGCCUCUGUUUUCGUGGUUGAUUCUGUGUGUGGUGUAUAUGAGGUGCUAUGGUCUUCUGUGAGGGGUGAUUAUUGUGAAUGGAAUUGUGUGGGUGUGUACCAUGUGUAUGUACUUCAAUAGAAAAAGAAAAUGGAGAAAUGGAGUUGUGGGUGUAUCCUCUAGUGAAUCGAAACUGAGAGUAUAUAGUGUGGAGUGUGUAUGUGAAUAUGGUGAUGGAGUAUGUGCUCUUUUUUCGUGAGGAUUUUUUGGUAUCCCCGUCCCUUUUUCUAACCCCUUUACUUUGUGAAAAAGAAACAUGUAAAAGAGUAGUUAGGUAGGUUGGGUAGUAGGCUAGGGUAGGGUAGUGAGGUGGAUGAGUUUGUUAGGAUAAGGUUUGUUAGGAUAGGGAAUGAAUUUAUUCAAUUUUGUUAUAGUUUGUAUUUUUGUGGGGUAUAAAUACAUGGGUGAGGGUGUAGGAUAAAGAUAAAACAAUGGAUAUAUUUGGUUUCGGGAGGGACAAAAUUAGGUUUCUACAUCAUGCCCCUUUUUGGGUGUAAACACAAAGCUUUUUCAGACAAAAAAAGUAGACAACGAGACCAAGUUUUGACCCAACCAUUAUUCAAUGAAAGAAAUAGAAAGAAGAAGAACAACCGGGUCUUCACUUAGGACAUCCUACCCACCCAAGUUACGGAGGAAUCAAGUCACGUGUAUCUUAAAGGAUUGGAAGGAGAAGGACUAUACAGAGUUAGAGAGUCGAGUGAGGUUCCAUCGAGGCUCCGGUCUGCGGCUCUGUUAUUACAUCAAAAUGAAAAUUACAAGUCAAUACAUAAAUGAAAUUAUAAAAUCCUAUCCAUACAGGUUCUUUUUUACUUGAGUUUCAUCGCCCUAUUCUUCAGGCGAGCUCCUGAUUUGCAAUUUUUUCAACUUACUGCUUGAUUUUCAACUUCAUCACCCUAUUCUCCAGGUUGGCUCCUGACUUGCUAUUUUUUCAAUCUAUUGACUUUCAGUUUUUUCACCUUGUUGCUUGACUUCAACUUCUUCACCACGUUGCUUGACUUUUCAUUUAUUCGCCCUGUUCUUCAGGAGGGCUCCUGAAAUCACAUCAAAACUAAAAAGAAAAUUAUCCCAAACAAAGAUUAUAUAAAGAGAUUAUUUGCUAGAAAAGUGAAGUUCCAAACAACAAGAAUUAAAUUUUGCCCCAGUUUAUCAUCAAAGGACUUUUGUGAAAGUCACAUCAUUAUAGGGAUUAAGGAGAAUGACUCGACUAAAAGGUAGGUCUUAUAGGAAUCAAGGGGAAUGACUCGACUAAAAGGUACAUCUUAUAGGAAUCAAGGGAAAACUCGACUAAAAGGUACGUCUUACAGGAAUCAAAGGGAAUGACUCGACUAAAAGGUACGUCUUCUAGGGGUCAAGGGAGAAUGACUCGACUAAAAGGUAUGUCUUAUAGAGAUCAAAGAAAAUAACUCUACUAAAAGGUACGUCUUCUAAGAGUCAAGGGGAAUGACUCGACUAAAAGGUAUGUCUUAUAGAGAUCAAAGAAAAUAACUCUACUAAAAGGUACGUCUUCUAAGAGUCAAGGGGAAUGACUCGACUAAAAGGUAUGUCUUAUAGGAAUCAAGGGAGAUGACUCAACUAAAAGGUACGUCUUAUAGGAAUCAAGGGAGAUGACUCNNNNNNNNNNNNNNNNNNNNNNNNNNNNNNNNNNNNNNNNNNNNNNNNNNNNNNNNNNNNNNNNAAAGGAAAUAACUCGACUAAAAGGUACGUCUCCUAAGGGUCAAGGGGAAUAACUCGACUUAAAGGUACGUCUUAUAGGAAUCAAGGGAGAUGACUCGACUAAAAGGUACGUCUUAUAAGAAUCAAGGUAGAUGACUAGACUAAAAGAUACGUCAUCUAGGGGUCAAGGGAAAUGACUCGAUUAAAAGGUACGUCUUCUAGGGGUCAAGGGAAUGACUCGACUAAAAGGUGCGUCUUCUAGAGGUCAAGGAAAAUAACUCGACUAAAAGGUACGUCUUAUAGGAAUCAAGGGGAAUGACUCGACUAAAAGGUACAUUUUCUAGGGGUCAAGGGAAUGACUCGACUAAAAGUUACGUCUUAUAGGAAUCAAAGGAAAUGACUCGACUAAAAGGUAUGUCUUCUAGGGGUCAAGGGAAUGACUCGACUAAAAGGUACGUCUUAUAGGAAUCAAAAGGAAUGACUCGACUAAAGGUACGUAUUCUAGGGGUCAAGGGCAAUGACUCGACUAGAAGGUACGUCUUCUAGGAGUGAAGGUUCAAUUUAAGAAGUGUAUCACCCAACAAAUAAAAACUGAAAUCCCUAGACAAGAAAGUGUGUCUCCGAGGGAUAUAAGAUGAUGAAUUUUUACCAUGAUUUAAUUAUCAAACCUGUGCAGCAACAUUGUUUCCUGCAUUUGUAAAAGUGAGAAAUUACGGGCCUUGAUGUUUAGGCUUUGAAAUCCUUGAUUUGAAGGUAACAUGUGUUCCUAUUUCAUGCAAAGAAAGGUUGUGAGUUUAAAAAUAUGGUGGCUGGUUUGUGGCUUUGGCUUUCAUGGUAAACGCUCUUGCCGUCAUCACAUUUAAGAGUGACUGAGACAAACACAGCAUCUCUGUUUUGCCAUGCUUCUUAGAUAGACCCCUUGGAACCUUGGUAUUUCAUGAGUUCCUAGACUUAUUUAUUGACAAAACUUUCUGCUUACCUCAUUUUGGCUCACAAUCAUGUCUCUUUCAUGCGUUGGCCUUUUUGCCUUGCUUUGUACAAUUGAAGAAGCUGGUAGCCAGUUUUGAAAUCUUUUCUCACUUAUUUUGACAUAGACUUAACUCAAAGACAAGAAAAAAAUGACAAUGAUUUUAUUUGGAUAACUGACUCAAGAAAAAUAAAAAUAUAACUAUAGAAAAGAAAGAAAUAAUAAUAAACGUCCUUAUUCAAAAAGAUGAAAGAAAAGUUUAUCUAAAAAUGACAGUCAACUCUAAUGAUUAUGACAUGCAUAUCGGAUUAAACUGGCUGAUCUUUCCAUCCAAAAUUCUUACAAAUUGUUGUUGAGUUAACGACCCUGAAAGUGAGUUGCUUUCUUGGACCAAUUGCAUUCGGAGACCUCAUUCGGCUAGUGGCGCCUUGAAGGGUUUUCACCAACAAGCCUCUUUCAUUUUCUUUUAUCACCUGACUAUUGCCUUAUAGUAUCCGAGAGGUUUUUUUACCAAUAAGAUUCUUAUUUUUAUUUUUCUCAACUCACAAUCGUCUUACAGUGCCCGUGAAGGUUUUCACCGAUAAGACUCUCUCAUUUUUAUUUAUCUCAACUCACCGUCGUCUUACAGUGCCCGUGAGGGUUUUCACCGAUAAGACUCUCAUUUUCGUUUCUCUCCUGAUUUCUUAUGCUGAGGAAGACAAGUAGUUUCUAAAAUGCGUUAUCUACAUCCAUUGCAUGCUUAGCCUGAGCAUUCUCGAAGAUUGAUCUGAAGGUCUUUCUUUGGUUGUAACUUGACUUUUGGAUAAGGUUAGAAAGAAAGGAUGGCAUGGGGACCGAAUGAUACUUAAAGUGGGGUGGGAUAUACAACUUUUAGAAUCGACUCAAACAAUGAGGAUUAACUCAUGCCCCAGUUUCUUUUGACUGGGCAAUUCUAAAUUAUUUAUUUGGUUGGACCGAGCCCAGAGUAGGGUAGCCUACGUAUCUCAACCUCGAGAGAGGAGAAUCAGGUCACGCGUAGUUCUAGCAGCUUGUUCUUUUGAUUGAUUCUGAUUUUUGUUUCUUUUUUUUCUCUUUUCUCUUUAGGAUUUUUUUUCUGACCCUAUUUUGAUACUCUUUUCUUUUCUUUCCUUUUGUACACAUUUUUUUUUCGACACUUUUCUUUUGAGUUUUACUGACUCUAUCUUGGUUCCAAAAGAAGGGUAUGAAAGAAAAUAAAACAAGAGCUUAAAUGGGGGUAAACAAAGGAUGACACGAUGUUUGGAUAGCAGAAUGAAAUGCCUUCGUCAUAUCAAUCCUUAAAAAUGUAAGUACAUAUCUUGCAAUAUAAAAGUGAAAGAUGAAGAUCACUUGUGACAUCUUUUACAAAUUAACUUUGACUGAGUUUGUGCGUCACUAUUUCUUCUGCAAACUCCACAUUUAUUGUACAGUCCUCACAUUGAAUGACUCAUGAUUUUGUGAAGCUGAUUUUCUUCCUGUUCACACAGCCACUAUUUGACCUAAUUGAGACAUGUCGGUCAAUUGAUGACCAAGUUAUUCUUGUGAUUCUCAAAAUAAGUGCCUUAAUUUCCAGAAAAGGCUUCAACUGUCACCAAAUGUUUCAGCACUCUACCUAUUUUCUCUGAUUUUUCUCUUUUUUUUUUAACCUUAGCCCUUUGAUUCAAAGUUCAUGCUAAAACUGGUUUUCAAGAUCCAACUGAAAAUUUCGCAAGCAUGUCAUAUCACUAGAAUCAACACAAAAUUGACUGUGUAAAGAAAACAAACAACACAUACUUAAAACACAAAGGGAAAGGGACACUUCAUUUAGUUGAAAUAAAAUAUAGAAGGGUUUGAACAUGCAUGACAAAGGGAUAAAACAAGAUAGAUCCCGAACUACAACCCUGAAAUAACUUAGAAAACAGAAAAGAAAAGAAAACAAACUACCAGACCUCUUCCUAGCAGGGAGGAGGGUGACUUCUCAAUUGGUCAGCCUAACAACUUAGCCACUGGUUUGCAUAUCAGCAUGACUAGAGCUUUCCUCACUGUCAGACACAUUCCCUUCAGUAAAUAAGUUCUGGAUUCCCAUGCUUAACUUAUUUUCUCCCACAUAUUUUGCAGUACCUCAUACUAGUGAAGAACUCUGUGGGAUGCUCGAGGUGCCAACGUUUUGCACUAUAAUCACUUUUUCUUGAAUCAUCUUGUCUAUUUCUCUUUUCAAAGUACGACAAUCUUCAAUACAGUGACCUUGAAUAUUAGAAUGAUAUGCACACCGUAUAUUAGAGUAAAAAUUUCUUGAAUAUGGGUCAGGUGUAUACCCAAGGAGAGGAGUGAUCAUGCCCUACUGUACCAAUCUCUGGAAUAAACUGGCAUAGGAUUCCCCAAUAGGAGUGAAAUUAUCUUUUUUCUUCCUCAUCUUUGCGAACUCUGGCCUCGGAUGAAACUUGGAUUUAGAGGUUCCUUGGUAAAUUUGUGGGGGUCGAGGAUGAUGUUGAGAGACAGGUGCAUGCCAUUGUGGAUAAGAAGAUGGAUGAGCAUACAAUUGUGCAUUGUUCAAAGGAUAUUGAGGAAGUGGAAUGGGAUUUCUUGGAUUUUGGGGAAAGAAACCUUGUUGCAAGUGGUUAUGUGGAUCUAAUAUACAAGCUUGGGAUUGAGGCUAACAGUAUUGGUAGGUUGGACCUCUCAAACUCUACUUUGGCCCUGGCAUGACAAUAGGUCUGUUUUCCUUCUUCUUUCCUUCAGUUUCCCUUGGUUGAUUACAAUGUUGUCCCAAAUAUUUCACAUAAUCCUUCUGUCCAUCAGGCUCCCCAAAUUUUGAUGUCUCAAAGUUGGGAAGAAGGUUAACACUUGAAAACAUGCCCCAGUUUUUAUAUGAAACAUCUUCAUAGCUCAUAAGUCCGGGGGAAUUUUUCAUAUCAUUUUCUACACUAUUAACUUUCCAACCACUUUAUCUAGCUCUUCUAGUAUGCUAGACUUCUUAGUAAGAAAUUUUGGCGGUCCACUUUAUUUAAUGGUAGGCUCAAGAGUAUAACAAUGAUCAUCAAGAGUAUUGAACAUGGAUUCACUAGUGGACUGGGGAAGCACAAUCGUUGGAUUGAUAGCCAAAGUGAAUGUGGUAGACUUAUACUGAGGAGCUAAAGAAAGAGUGGUGGAAGUAUUGAGGUGCAUUUGACGUGGAAUGGAUUCUGAGGCAUGCUGUGGUGUAUCAACAACAGAAGGAAACUGACUUUGCAAUUUUGGUGGAAGACUCAAGGUAUUUGCAGGGUCAAAAGUGGGGAACGGAGGUGGAGGCAGCCCACUAGCCCAAGCUCGGUACAUUUCCAUCAUUUGUUGUCUCAGUCUCAAAUUCUCUUCCUUUAAACUCUCAAUUUCCUGACUCUUGGUUUCAUCCAUGGUGCCACUCUCUAUAUCCUUGUUGGACAUAACUAAACCUUCCUUGGAUUUGGUAUGAUAUGGAGGACUAGCCAGGAAGCCUCAAACCAACCACCUUAAACUAACUGAACAAGAUGCAAUAAAUAUGUUAGAGUUUAACCUUUUUCAAAACCUCUUUUUUUUUAAAAAAGAUCACCGAACCCAAGAAGGGCGCCUACGUAUCUCACCCCCGAGGGGGGAGAAUCAGGUAUGCGUAAUUCGUGAAGUCUUGCCAAAAUGGCCAAUUGAACUCUUUGUUUUCUUUCUUUUUUUUUCUUUUUCUCGAAACUUUACAAGAAAAGAAAAUAACAAUUUGUCAAAAGAAUUGACGAAAAUGUUUUUGAAUUUUUCAGCUUUAACAUCCCUAUACAAUGUGAAAUCUAUGAUUACCAAAGAUUUUUUAUUUUUUUUUUGUAUUUUCAGUUUUAAAUUUCAUAUGAAAAUGAAACCUGAACCUAUUAAAGGAAAAUCUUUUUGCAGUUUUCUUUUAAAGGUGUAAAUGAAACACUUACUCUAAAUAAAGAGUGAAGAAAAUCCUUUUGAAUUUUUUUCAAAUAAGAUCCCCGAACCGACAAUAAGCUGCCUACGUAUCUCACUCCCGAAAGAGGAGAGUCAAGGGUGCGUAGUUCGUCCAGAUUGGACAAUUAAGGAUUAAUUAACAAACUAAAUCCUGAAUUGAGAGACACGACUAAAGACAGACGAAUAAAAUCUUUUUGGAUUCUGAAUUAUAAACUAACACCAACAACUAUGAAAGAAAAAAAAUCUUUUUGAUAUUUUCGUUAUAUAAAAAUGUACAAAGCUCCUAUUGAAAGGAAAAAAUAUUUUUGGAGGUUUCUAAUUGUGAAUACCUACUAAAGAAAUAAAAGGAAACUAUUUUUAACGUUUUAGAUUUUUUGGGAAAUGAGUGCAUAAAGUAAAAAAAAAAAUUUUUUUUUUAAUUGUGAAAAACAAAAGUCAUAAAGAACCCUAAAAACUACCAAAUACGCUUUUUUCUUCCUUUUUUCAACAAUUUCCUUCCUACACACGUUGCUUUUAACUCAUGCUUUUGCCCAAAUCAGUCUGUCAAAUGACCUUGUUACCCUCAAAGAUACAACAUUUAUCACGUAGGGAUGCUUUAGAGGUGAGUUUCCUACAAAGGACCAAGUGGCUCCCGCUAGGUCUUCAAUAUGAUGCACAUAAAUAUGACCUAAAGGCUGACCUACGUUGUGGUUCACUAACAAGGCUGUUUGGGGAAUCGUAUGGUCGAUAAUGGCUGCUUUGCUUUCCACCUACUCCAUAACACCGACGGCUCCCCCUCUUAAAAUAAGGGUGACUCAACUAGAGGUUGUGUACAACACGUGUACUACGGACUUGUUGCAGAAAGAAUGACUCGGGUUAUGCACAUGAUACCAGAUAUAAAGCGGUAACACAUAAAGUAAAACUGUAAACAAAGAGCACGUAGGCACUUAACACUGAUAAAAUGAAUACGAACAAUAACACAAACAAUGUCUAUACACCCAUAAUGUCAAACAAAGCCGAUAUAACUCCAAAAUUAGCUCGAAUUCUGAAAAGUCCCCAGCAGAGUCGCCAGAUCUGUCACACCCCUUUUUUCAACUCCAUAAAGAUUGUAUUUUUAUGUUUGAAAAUUCGAAAGUGUUUUUAUUAUUAAAGUGACAAAAGAUUGAAAUUUUAUUUUUGAAAAAGGAUUAUUUACAUUUUUUAUUCAGAGUCGCCACUUGACAUAAUUCGGUGUGUCAAGUCACCUUUGAAAAAUCCUUUUCAAAACAGUUUGACUCUAAAAGCUGAUCUACGAACAGAGAUUCCGAUUAAGGAAUUUUGUUGAUCAAGGAAAAGGUGUUAGGCACCCCUCGGUCCCGUGGUUUGACCACGAUCGCUUGGUGAAGCGUAUCGGCUAAUUUGACAUUAUGAAUAUAUAAACCACACAAAACAAUCAAUCAAACAAACAAACAAAACAAAUCCAAAAUUAUAUUGUCCAGUCCGAUUAUUACAAUCCCGAAAUAGAAAAGUGCGAAAAUAUAAACCUACUCUAUUCUAUGCUAAUUCUAAACUGCACUCCAUUGCUUUCUCCACCCGACGUUUCGGGCCUUGAUCGUGCGUCGUUUUCAAUUACAUGGUAUUUCGGAGCAUUCCCCGGAUAAAUCAAUACAAAUCCUCUGGGGCAUUCCCCGACCAAAUAAAUACAAUAGAUCCCAAUGCAUAAAUCAAAAUUAUUCCACAAACAUUUCAUCAUUCGACAAUCACAAAUUCUAAACUUUGCCUACCCAACUUACGUUUUCCUAUUACUUCCGACUUAUCAUGCUACUACCACGUUUAACAAUGUCAACAUCGAUCAAGAUGACAAAUUAAAUAAACUAAGUGAAAUUACGAAUUAACCAGCUUCGAUACCAGCCCCAGAUUACGAUUUAACCCCAAAUUGAGUCCAAGUUCUUUGAUUAUUCCAAUUCAAAACAAUCAAUCGAUCGACGUCAACAAUCAACCACUAUGAUCCAAAAUAUAUCAAAAUCAACAAAACAAAAUAAAACCCACACACCAUGAAUUUAUCACACCAAGUAUUACACGAUUAAAAAUUAAUUGAGAAUAAAAUGAAGAAUGGACCUUUUAUUCAAUCAAACAGAGGAGCCUCGCGAAUUCGGAUCCUCGACUUAAACCGACCUUGACAAAACCCCAUUUGGCGUCGAAUUUUGACCCCGAAACAGAUUUGAAAAUCAAGCGGAACCUCAAAAUCGCAAACCUCAAUUAACAAAUCAAACGAACAAUGGAAAACUCAAACGGAGGGGUGAACUGGCGCUACUGGUCGCCGAUUUUGGUGAUAUUACCCAAUAGAUUCCAAUAAUUUCGGCCAUAACAGUGAAGGACGGGACUGGGGAGAUGUUUUUUUGGUCAGUCACAUUUUCGAUCAGACCACCAAUCGAUUUCAGCUUGCCGUCGCCUUUCUCCCUCUCUCUCCAAUCUCACAAUCUCACUCUUGCUCGAAUUUCUCAUUCUUUAUCUCCCUCCUCUCUCGAUUUCUCCCUCACAUUGGUGUUACUGUAUGUGGUGUGUUUGUGAACGAAGAAAAAAAGAAAAAAAUGGUGUAUGCCUCUGUUUCCGUGGUUGAUUCUGUGUGUGGUGUAUACGAGGUGCUAUGGUCUUCUGUGAGGGGUGAUUAUUGUGAAUGGAAUUGUGUGGGUGUGUACCGUGUGUAUGUGCUUCAAUGGAAAAAGAAAAUAGAGAAAUUGAGCUAUGGGUGUAUCCUCUAGUGAAUCGAAAUUGGGAGUCUAUCAUGUGGAGUGUGUAUGUGAAUAUGGUGAUGGAGUAUGUGCUCUUUUUUCAUAAGGAUUUUUUGGUAUCCCCGUCCCUUUUUCUAACC
rnacentral:lncRNA from 1 species